rnacentral:misc_RNA from 1 species
GAUGAAGAACGUAGCGAAAUGCGAUACGUAAUGUGAAUUGCAGAAUUCAGUGAAUCAUCGAGUCUUUGAACGCACAUUGCGCCCUCUGGUAUUCCGGAGGGCAUGCCUGUCCGAGCGUCAUUGCUGCCCUCAAGCACGGCUUGUGUGUUGGGCCCCGCCCCCCGAUCCCGGGGGGCGGGCCCGAAAGGCAGCGGCGGCACCGCGUCCGGUCCUCGAGCGUAUGGGGCUUUGUCACCCGCUCUGUAGGCCCGGCCGGCGCCUGCCGAUCAACCAAACUUUUUUCCAGGUUGACCUCGGAUCAGGUAGGGAUACCCGCUGAACUUAAGCAUAUCAAUAAGCGAGGA